AUUGAACGCUAGCGGGAUGCUUUACACAUGCAAGUCGAACGAGUGGCGGACGGGUGAGUAAUAUAUCGGAACGUGCCCAGUAGCGGGGGAUAACUACUCGAAAGAGUGGCUAAUACCGCAUACUAUUGGAGCGGCCGAUAUCGGAUGAGCGAGUUGGUGGGGUAAAGGCCACCAAAGGAAACACUCCGUAGCUGGUUUGAGAGGACGACCUGCCAGACUGGGAUGUAGACCCGGCCCAUAUCCCUACGGGAGGCAGAAUUGGGGAAUAUUGCACAAUGGGCGCAAGCCUAAUGCAGCCAGGCCGAUUGGAUAAGAGGGCCCUAGGGUUGUAAAGUCCUUUCAUUCGGGAGGCGUUACCGACAGAAGAAGCACCGGCUAACUACGUGCCAGCAGCCGCGGUAAUUC
rnacentral:rRNA from 1 species